UAGAUAGAAGCCUGUUGGUUUAGGCACCUGCCUGUUAACCAGGGGUUUAUGGGAUCGAGGCUUAUCUGUCUAG
rnacentral:tRNA from 1 species